rnacentral:rRNA from 1 species
AAGAUGCAGUGUACCCGCGGCAAGACGGAAAGACCCCGUGAACCUUUACUAUAGCUUGACACUGAACAUUGAGCCUUGAUGUGUAGGAUAGGUGGGAGGCUUUGAAGUGUGGACGCCAGUCUGCAUGGAGCCGACCUUGAAAUACCACCCUUUAAUGUUUGAUGUUCUAACGUUGACCCGUGAUCCGGGUUGCGGACAGUGUCUGGUGGGUAGUUUGACUGGGGCGGUCUCCUCCUAAAGAGUAACGGAGGAGCACGAAGGUUGGCUAAUCCUGGUCGGACAUCAGGAGGUUAGUGCAAUGGCAUAAGCCAGCUUGACUGCGAGCGUGACGGCGCGAGCAGGUGCGAAAGCAGGUCAUAGUGAUCCGGUGGUUCUGAAUGGAAGGGCCAUCGCUCAACGGAUAAAAGGUACUCCGGGGAUAACAGGCUGAUACCGCCCAAGAGUUCAUAUCGACGGCGGUGUUUGGCACCUCGAUGUCGGCUCAUCACAUCCUGGGGCUGAAGUAGGUCCCAAGGGUAUGGCUGUUCGCCAUUUAAAGUGGUACGCGAGCUGGGUUUAGAACGUCGUGAGACAGUUCGGUCCCUAUCUGCCGUGGGCGCUGGAGAACUGAGGGGGGCUGCUCCUAGUACGAGAGGACCGGAGUGGACGCAUCACUGGUGUUCGGGUUGUCAUGCCAAUGGCACUGCCCGGUAGCUAAAUGCGGAAGAGAUAAGUGCUGAAAGCAUCUAAGCACGAAACUUGCCCCGAGAUGAGUUCUCCCUGACUCCUUGAGAGUCCUGAAGGAACGUUGAAGACGACGACGUUGAUAGGCCGGGUGUGUAAGCGCAGCGAUGCGUUGAGCUAACCGGUACUAAUGAACCGUGAGGCUUAACCUUACAACGCCGAAG